rnacentral:rRNA from 1 species
CGCGGCCUAUCAGCUUGUUGGUGAGGUAAUGGCUCACCAAGGCGACGACGGGUAGCCGGCCUGAGAGGGCGACCGGCCACACUGGGACUGAGACACGGCCCAGACUCCUACGGGAGGCAGCGGUGGGGAAUAUUGGGCAAUGGGCGCAAGCCUGACCCAGCGACGCCGCGUGAGGGACGAAGGCCUUCGGGUUGUAAACCUCUUUCAGUAGGGAAGAAGCGAAAGUGACGGUACCUAAAGAAGAAGCACCGGCUAACUAUGUGCCAGCAGCCGCGGUAAUACAUAGGGUGCAAGCGUUGUCCGGAAUUAUUGGGCGUAAAGAGCUCGUAGGUCGUUUGCCGCGUCGAUUGUGAAAAUCUGAGGCUCAACCUCAGACCUGCAGUCGAUACGGGCAAACUAGAGUGUGGUAGGGGAGACUGGAAUUCCUGGUGUAGCGGUGGAAUGCGCAGAUAUCAGGAGGAACACCAAUGGCGAAGGCAGGUCUCUGGGCCAUAACUGACACUGAGGAGCGAAAGCGCGGGGAGCGAACAGGAUUAGAUACCCUGGUAGUCCGCGCCGUAAACGGUGGGCACUAGCUGUGAGGACCUUCCACGGUCUUCGCGACGCAGCAAACGCAUUAAGUGCCCCGCCUGGGGAGUACGG